rnacentral:rRNA from 1 species
GACGAACGCUGGCGGCGUGCCUAAUACAUGCAAGUAGAACGCUGAAGAGAGGAGCUUGCUCUUCUUGGAUGAGUUGCGAACGGGUGAGUAACGCGUAGGUAACCUGCCUUGUAGCGGGGGAUAACUAUUGGAAACGAUAGCUAAUACCGCAUAACAAUGGAUGACCCAUGUCAUUUAUUUGAAAGGGGCAAAUGCUCCACUACAAGAUGGACCUGCGUUGUAUUAGCUAGUAGGUGAGGUAACGGCUCACCUAGGCGACGAUACAUAGCCGACCUGAGAGGGGGAUCGGCCACACUGGGACUGAGACACGGCCCAGACUCCUACGGGAAGCAGCAGUAGGGAAUCUUCGGCAAUGGGGGCAAACCUGACCGAGCAACGCCGCGUGAGUGAAGAAGGGUUUCGGAUCGUAAAGAUCUGUUGUAAGUCAAGAACGAGUGGGAGAGUGGAAAGUUCACACUGUGACGGUAGCUUACCAGAAAGGGACGGCUAACUACGUG